CUCUCUCUCUAUCUUUCUCUAAAGGGGAGUCAAGCUGAGGACACCGGUCUCUAUGACAACCUGCUAGCUCAGGAUAUGUCAUAGGAACUUGAUUAGGUCGAGUGACAGACAGCAGCGACGUUUUCUCCGCCUGAAGCAGCACCGGGGAGCCGUGAGCAAAGCAGCGGGGAGCUCCCAUCUGAUGGAAAACGGCGGGUUUUAACGGCCAGCAGCACCGAGAGCAUCGACCCGGGAGGCACGGUUCCGUUAUCCUAGGAAUUAGAGGCUCAGACGGCACCGGAAGGAAAGGUCACCAUCACCCCAAAGCCUCCUGCCUCUCCUCUCCUCUGUUAGCUCUGUGUGUGUCUUGGAGGGAAGGUUGUGUAGCCUCCCCUCCUCUCCUCUCCUCUCCUCUCCUCUCCUCUCCUCUCCUCUCCUCUCCU